UUACGGUCAUAUCACAUUCAAACACCAGUUCUGAUCAGAUCACUGAAGUUAAGCAAUGUCAAGGUUGGUCAGUACCUAGAUGGAUAACCACUUGAGAAUACCAAGAGCUGUAA